AGGCCGGUGGUGUGCGCGCCCCGAUUGGCUCAGAGGAAGGCGGUGACGUGGCCGGAGCAGCCCUGUCUGUGCCUAAACUGAAGCUCGGCCACGCUAGGGCUGGAUUGGUGGUAGGCGGGGCGGGCCCCGGUCGCUGGCCGGAAGCGGAAGUGGAGGAAAGAUGCAGGACCAUCAGCACGUGCCCAUCGACAUCCAGACCAGCAAGCUUCUCGGUAGGAGGGGUCACCCCGCUCAACCGGCUGUCAGGGGGAGGCCUGGCCCUUUGCCCCAUCACCAACAGCUGGAGCCCAGACAUCCCAAGGUCCCUGUUCAGACGCUGACCGCUCGCCCUGCUCUGUGCCCGCGUCUGUGCCCAGACCUGCCUCGCUAAGAGGAGCAGGAAGGAACCGUUCAUAAAGUCUGUACUCAAUCUGCGUCUUCUACCUUAACGUUUGUAACAUGUGUUGCCAAUCAGAUCAUUCAGGCGCAGAGAGGCGAAGGGCUUACCUUGAAGAUGGUCACCUACUGAGAUGUCAGAUCUGAAAUUAGAACCUAAGUCUGUCAGGCACCAGCAUCUAUGCUUUUUGUAUUAUGCCAGAAAAAAAAGCUUUCUCUCCUUUUUUAUUUUUACUAUUUUCCUUUUUUUUUUUUUUUUUUUUUUGAGGGCCGUUUGAAUGGCAUGUGGAGGUUCCCAGGCUAGGGGUCCAAUCCGAGCUACAGCUGCCAGCCUACACCACAGCCACAGCAACGCCAGAUCCGAGCCACGUCUGCAGCCUACACCACAGCUCAUGCCAACACCGGAUCCUUAACUCACUGAGUGAGGUCAGGGAUCGAACCCACAACCUCAUGGUUCCUAGUCGGAUUUGUUUUGGCUGCGCCACAACGGAAACUCCGGCACAUGUAUGCUCUUGAUGUAUGUGCUUGUUAUUGUUUGUGAAAGGGACUGAUGAGACAACAACUGUGUAUCGAGGGUUUGCGCUAUACCAGGUGCUGUUUUAUGUGCUUGAUGUUAUGAACAUGAAGAUCACCACCAUUCAUUGAGCCCUUGCCAUGUGCUAGGUGUUUUACCUUCAUUCCCCUUUGUACUCAGUGUCUCUAGCAUCUUCAUUUUACUUUUACUGAGGCACAGAGCGAUUGAGGGACUUUGCCCAAGAAAGUUGCUAAAUAGCAGCCAAGUCCAUCUGACCCCAGAGUCUAGCUCUUAGCUCCUGCCUACUGAAGAAAUGUGCUUGGCUGUCAUCCACCUAUACCCGCUACUAAAAACACGAAUCUGGGCCCAGAAUCUAGGAGGUCAGUUACCUUAGUAUUCAUAUGUGCAGGAUGGUACUUCACUGGUAUGAUUAGACUGCUGUUAUUUAGUCCUUAGGACACUAUAGGUGUUAGGGGCUUUGCAGUUCUUCAUUCAUCUGGUUUGGCAUAACCAUAUUGUAUUUUUUUUUUUGUCAUGGUUAAUCCCAGCCCUGAGGAAGUGGAAGUUAAAUAGCAACCUCUGUUGAUAGGAAAGAUACAAUCACUCAUGGAAGCAAAAAUAUUAUGGAGAGUUUAGAGUGGCCCAAAGUGGCACAUUUUUUUGUUUUGGUUUGGUUUUUGGUUUCUUUGGCCACACCUGUGGCAUAUGAGGGUUCCCAGGCUAGGGGUCUAAUUGGAGCUGUGGCUGCCGGCCUACACCACAGCUCACGGCAAUACUGGAUCCUUAACCCACUAGUUAAGCGGGGCCAGGGAUCGAACCUGUGUC
ensembl:lncRNA